rnacentral:rRNA from 1 species
GAUGAACGCUGGCGGCGUGCCUAAUACAUGCAAGUCGAACGCAGUGGGGACGGUUGAGUAACACGUGGGUAACCUCCCAUCAGAGGGGAUAACACUUGGAAACAGGUGCUAAACCGAUACUGAUGGAUGGACGCGGGGUGCAUUAGCUAGUUGGGUGGGUAACGGCUCACCUAGGCCACGAUGCAUAGCCGAGCUGAGAGGGGGAUCAGCCACACUGGGACGGAGACACGGCCCAGACUCCUACGGGAGGCAGCAGUAGGGAAUAUUCGGCAAUGGACGAAAGUCUGACCGAGCAACGCCGCGUGGGUGAAGAAGGUAUUCGGAUCGUAAAACUCUGUUGUUAGAGAAGCGGUAUCUAACCAGAAAGCAACGGCUAACUACGUGCCAGCAGCCGCGGUAAUAC